UACGUAGGGGGCAAGCGUUGUUCGGAAUUACUGGGCGUAAAGGGCGCGUAGGCGGCCUGCUAAGUCGAACGUGAAAUCCCCGGGCUCAACCCGGGAACUGCGUCCGAUACUGGCAGGCUUGAAUCCGGGAGAGGGAUGUGGAAUUCCAGGUGUAGCGGUGAAAUGCGUAGAUAUCUGGAGGAACACCGGUGGCGAAGGCGGCAUCCUGGACCGGUAUUGACGCUGAUGCGCGAAAGCCAGGGGAGCAAACGGG
rnacentral:rRNA from 1 species